CCUACGGGUGGCAGCAGUAGGGAAUCUUUCACAAUGGGCGAAAGCCUGAUGGAGCAACGCCGCGUGCAGGAUGAAGGCCUUCGGGUUGUAAACUGUUUUUAUAAGCGAGAAAUAUGAUGGUAACUUAUGAAUAAGGAGUGGCUAACAACGUGCAAGCAGCGGCGGUCAUACGUAGGAUCCGAGCAUUAUCCGGAGUGACCGGGUGUAAAGAGUUUCGUAGGUGGCAUAAUAAGGAGCUAGUGGAAUCUGGUGGCUCAACCAUUCAGACUAUUAGCUAAACUGUUAAGCUCGAGACCGUUAGGGGUAACUGGAAUUUCUAGUGUAGGAGUGAAAUCCGUAGAUAUUAGAAAGAACACCGAUAGCGUAGGCAGGUUGCUAGGACGGUUCUGACACUAAGGCACGAAAGCGUAGGGAGCAAACGGGAUUAGAUACCCCUGUAGUC
rnacentral:rRNA from 1 species